rnacentral:lncRNA from 1 species
UUGGGAUUUGCCCGGCCGCCCAACCCUUUCAUUUGCUGCGGAUGCCUGGAUGUGCGCGUGCACCGCGGGGCUAUUCACUGAUUGCGGUUGACCAGAAAUAGUUGGUGAGUGGAGUGUAGUCAGCUACUUCGAAGCCGAAAAGGGCCCUCGGCCCGGGUGUAGCAAGGAGUUGCCCCGCAGUAUUCCGCAGGGGACGCUGUACGGCACUGGGCUGCAAGUGGCUAGACCCACCACUACGGGGUGCUAUAUCACGACUUCAGAAAAGUACUGAUCGGCAGCUGCAGAUGUCAGAUCCCGUGAUAGUGCGCUCGCCAGGAUUCUAAACGAGGGCCAUCUGGUUUGUGGUGGUGUAAAACACCCGGCCCCUUGCCAGCCCUUGCCCCCAAAAGACGAUCACGAUGACGCAUGAUGACGAUGAUGAUGAUCAUGAUAACGAUAAGGAUCAGAAGGACGCUUGCAAGGAAGACGGGACACGUAGGAACUGGAAAACUUGCACACAUCAGUCGUGCGGGCUCAGCAACGCAGGGGUGAUUACGACACUAGAUAUGAUAAAUAUGAUAUGACACGAUAUCUUGUGUAGCAGCGCAAAACCUCGGCAAAAAGCAGCAGCAGCAGCAGCAGCAGCAGCCGCCGCAUGUGGCCCUCCUCCAUCCGCCCGUAUACAGAAGCCGGUGGUGGGAGGUAUGUGUGUAUGAGGUAGCAGCACUGUGGCUACUAUUACCGACCGCGCCACACAGUGAGGACUCCCCAUCGCCCAUCCCUCUCUCCUCGCUCCACGCACCCUUUCCUCUCCCCUUCCCUCGUCCCUCCUCUUCGCAUGCUGGUCUGUCCACCCGUCAUGACGUGCGUACGGUGGGGUGUAUUCAGUACCCCCAUAACCACCGCGGGUCGUUCCCAAACGCCCUCGAAAGCUCCUGAUUGAAGGGCCUGCGGAGGGAGGGGCAGCGGAAACAGUAGCAAAGAGGUAACACAAAAACUAGCAACAGCAGCGAGAGNNNNNNNNNNNNNNNNNNNNNNNNNNNNNNNNNNNNNNNNNNNNNNNNNNNNNNNNNNNNNNNNNNNNNNNNNNGUUUGCGCAUGGACUGCUGUAUGGCAUUUGCUGUUUCUCAUGCAUCAGUUUUUGCUUGUGAUGGAGGUAGUGCUAUGUACACGAUGGUUACACCACUCCUCGUACGUCUGUGAAGGUUUGAAGGUAUAAUGUGGUGGUAAGCUAAAUCGCCGAGUACGGCAUGCUGCGUUGAAUCACCUUAUUCUAUUUCAUCGUUGGGAUUUGCCCGGCCGCCCAACCCUUUCAUUUGCUGCGGAUGCCUGGAUGUGCGCGUGCACCGCGGGGCUAUUCACUGAUUGCGGUUGACCAGGAAUAGUUGGUGAGUGGAGUGUAGUCAGCUACUUCGAAGCCGAAAAGGGCCCUCGGCCCGGGUGUAGCAAGGAGUUGCCCCGCUGUAUUCCGCAGGGGACGCUGUACGGCACUGGGCUGCAAGUGGCUAGACCCACCACUACGGGGUGCUAUAUCACGACUUCAGAAAAGUACCGAUCGGCAGCUGCAGAUGUCAGAUCCCGUGAUAGUGCGCUCUCCAGGAUUCUAAACGAGGGCCAUCUGGUUUGUGGUGGUGUAAAACACCCGGCCCCUUGCCAGCCCUUGCCCCCAAAAGACGAUCACGAUGACGCAUGAUGAUGAUGAUGAUGAUGAUGAUGAUGAUCAUGAUAACGAUAAGGAUCAGAAGGACGCUUGCAAGGAAGACGGGACAUGUAGGAACUGGAAAACUUGCACACAUCAGUCGUGCGGGCUCAGCAAUGCAGGGGUGAUUACGACACUAGAUAUGAUAAAUAUGAUAUGACACGAUAUCUUGUGUAGCAGCGCAAAACCUCGGCAAAAAGCAGCAGCAGCAGCAGCAGCAGCACGCAUGUGGCCCUCCUCCAUCCGCCCGUAUACAGAAGCCGGUGGUGGGAGGUAUGUGUGUAUGAGGUAGCAGCACUGUGGCUACUAUUACCGACCGCGCCACACAGUGAGGACUCCCCAUCGCCCAUCCCUCUCUCCUCGCUCCACGCACCC